GGAACUCCGGAAGGACAUUA
rnacentral:rRNA from 1 species